rnacentral:rRNA from 1 species
UACGAGUCCUUAACUGACGCUAAUGCUCGAAAGUGCGGGUAUCGAACAGGAUUAGAUACCCUGGUAGUCCGCACGGUAAACGAUGGAUGCCCGCUGUUGGCGAUAUACUGUCAGCGGCCAAGCGAAAGCGUUAAGCAUCCCACCUGGGGAGUACGCCGGCAACGGUGAAACUCAAAGGAAUUGACGGGGGCCCGCACAAGCGGAGGAACAUGUGGUUUAAUUCGAUGAUACGCGAGGAACCUUACCCGGGCUUGAACUGCAGCCGAACGAUAGAGAGAUCUUGAGGUCCUUCGGGACGGCUGUGGAGGUGCUGCAUGGUUGUCGUCAGCUCGUGCCGUGAGGUGUCGGCUUAAGUGCCAUAACGAGCGCAACCCCUUUCAUUAGUUGCCAUCAGGUUAUGCUGGGCACUCUAGUGAUACUGCCACCGUAAGGUGUGAGGAAGGUGGGGAUGACGUCAAAUCAGCACGGCCCUUACGUCCGGGGCUACACACGUGUUACAAUGGGUGGUACAGAGAGUAAACUGCCGGCAACGUCAGUUCAAUCAAUAAAGCCAUCCUCAGUUCGGAUUGGGGUCUGCAACCCGACCCCAUGAAGCUGGAUU